GGCGAGGGGCGGGCCGGGGGCGGCGCUGCCUCCGCGGCCGUGCGGGACGGCGGCGGGGCCGGGGCUGGAGCCGCGCCGGGGAGCGGGGACCAAGAGCGGAGCUGCCCCAGCGGGGCGGCUGCGGGGAGGGAGGUGCCGGGCUGCCGGUUGUGCCUGAACCGGAGCAUCCCGAGCCGGAGCGUCCCGAGCCGCAGCAUCCCGAGCCUGAGCAUCCCGGCGGCGUCGGUCGUCUGCUUUUCGAGGGAGGUCAAGGCUGCGGGUGUGGGGUGUUUUCUUCCUCCCCUGCCCCUCGGCCGGUGCGCGUUGUUGGUGCUCUCGGUGCGAGGCGGCCGAGCCGCCCGGUGGCCGAGCGCUGCUGCUCGCUGUUCCCGGCGCCGGGGCCGCUCGCUCCCGCUGUCCGGCGCCGAGCCGAGCCGCGCCAGCUGAGGCGGGUCCCGCCGCGUCCCCGGAGGCUUUGGGAAGCUGCUGAGCGGCCUGGAACAGCUCCCGCCGUGCCUCGUCCGUGGUGCUGCUCCGAGGGAGCAUCCUCAGCGGUUUGCCCGUCCUGUGCUGUAAUACCAAGGGCAUUUGAUUUUCACAAGCGUUUAAGCGAGAGGCAGGAAGCAACGGAUGCAAGAUUCCUCCUUGCACCCCAUCUACACAGAAGCAGAAGAGGAAUUAUCUCAAUGACAGAGUACAUUCAGAAGAUGCUGAAAAAUCUGAUGUUUCUGAUAGGUCUGAGACUUGGAAUCUAAAUACUAAAAAGUCAGUAUGUUUUCACCUCUACCUCCUGCACUCUUUUGCAAGCAGUCCUCCCCCUGUGUCUUCAUGACUGCGGUUGCCUCCUUUUCCUGGCUUGCACAGAGGAAAUCCUGUUACGACAUAGUCGAUCCAUGGCGCUGCUGCAAAAUCCAUCUCUUAGCCUGCCACUUCAUCUGCAUCUCCCCUCUUUGUCAGUCCUUCUGCUGCUCCCCCUUUCCUCCUGCAUCGGACACGUAGUCUGAGGCUUUGCUUUCAAGUGUCCUUGACAGUCACCCUGUACAUGAUGUACCAAGUCUCCUGUUUUCUCAAGAUGUACCCCUGGGUUUUGAUCAGACUGUGCUCUCAGCAUCUUUCUUCCUCACGCCAUCAUCUUUGCAUUCCUCCAAGCUUCACCUUGUGCUUACUUGUAGCUUCAUAUAGGCACUUUGUCCAUCACUUAUUUUAUUUCCUUGAAAUGUCCCAG
rnacentral:lncRNA from 1 species